UGGGGGAUAUUGCACAAUGGGCGAAAGCCUGAUGCAGCGACGCCGCGUGGGGGAUGAAGGCCUUCGGGUUGUAAACUUCUUUUGCUCUGAACAAGGCGCCCCAUGGGUUGUGUUGAGUGUAGGGGUUGAUUAGCGCCGGCUAACUACGUGCCAGCAGCCGCGGUAAUACGUAGGGCGCGAGCGUUGUCCGGAAUUAUUGGCGUAAAGGGCUUGUAGGUGGCUGGUUGCGUCUGUCGUGAAAGCUCAUGGCUUAACUGUGGGUUUGCGGUGGGUACGGGCUGGCUUGAGUGCAGUAGGGGGGGCUGGAAUUCCUUGUGUAGCGGUGGAAUGCGCAGAUAUCAGGAGGAAUACCGGUGGCGAAGGCGGGUCUCUGGGCUGUUACUGACACUGAGGAGCGAAAGCAUGGGGAGCGAACAGG
rnacentral:rRNA from 1 species